AGACAUUAUAAAUGGGGAACAUUAAAUUUCAGUAGCUAAGUAGAUAUAAAGAUGAGAUGUCCAUCUUAUUACAAAAAAAUUGUGGAUUUUAAGACAUGGGAAAUAGGAUAUCAACAUUGUAGAGCUUCAAUUGCUAUCCUUGCUAAUGUCUUACUCCAUGUUUCUGAUUUUAAAAUGAUAAUGUUAUAUUGUUCGUGUUGCUUUGCUGAGUACUUUCUAUUUUGUAUGUCGUGCUAAGAGUGAAAUAUGAUAUGAACGUGAUAACUAAGAGCUACCUUUUACUGUUAUGCAACAUGUAAAAAAUUAUAUUACAGUAAACCUAUUGACAGAAUUAGUGAAGUCUUGUGUCUCCAAACUAAGUGAAACAUAUUUGAGUGAACAACUUCAUCUUUUUCCUUUAUCUAACAUGCAUAUGACUUGUGUGAAACUGCA
rnacentral:misc_RNA from 1 species